rnacentral:rRNA from 1 species
AGUGAACGCUGGCGGUAGGCCUAACACAUGCAAGUCGAACGGCAGCACAGUAAGAGCUUGCUCUUACGGGUGGCGAGUGUCGGACGGGUGAGGAAUACAUCGGAAUCUACUUUUUCGUGGGGGAUAACGUAGGGAAACUUACGCUAAUACCGCAUACGACCUACGGGUGAAAGCAGGGGAUCUUCGGACCUUGCGCGAUUGAAUGAGCCGAUGUCGGAUUAGCUAGUUGGCGGGGUAAAGGCCCACCAAGGCGACGAUCCGUAGCUGGUCUGAGAGGAUGAUCAGCCACACUGGAACUGAGACACGGUCCAGACUCCUACGGGAGGCAGCAGUGAGGAAUAUUGGACAAUGGGCGCAAGCCUGAUCCAGCCAUACCGCGUGGGUGAAGAAGGCCUUCGGGUUGUAAAGCCCUUUUGUUGGGAAAGAAAAGCAGCAGGUUAAUACCCCGCUGUUCUGACGGUACCCAAAGAAUAAGCACCGGCUAACUUCGUG